rnacentral:rRNA from 1 species
AGAGCGAACGCUGGCGGCAGGCUUAACACAUGCAAGUCGAGCGGGCGGUAGCGAAUAACGGUCAGCGGCAGACGGGUGAGUAACGCGUGGGAACGUACCUUUUGGUUCGGAACAACCCAGGGAAACUUGGGCUAAAUACCGGAUAAGCCCUUACGGGGAAAGAUUUAUCGCCGAAAGAUCGGCCCGCGUCUGAUUAGCUAGUUGGUGAGGUAAUGGCUCACCAAGGCGACGAUCAGUAGCUGGUCUGAGAGGAUGAUCAGCCACAUUGGGACUGAGACACGGCCCAAACUCCUACGGGAGGCAGCAGUGGGGAAUAUUGGACAAUGGGCGCAAGCCUGAUCCAGCCAUGCCGCGUGAGUGAUGAAGGCCCUAGGGUUGUAAAGCUCUUUCGCCCGCGACGAUGAUGACGGUAGCGGGAGAAGAAGCCCCGGCUAACUUCGUGCCAGCAGCCGC